rnacentral:rRNA from 1 species
GACGAACGCUGGCGGCGUGCUUAACACAUGCAAGUCGAACGGUAAGGCCCUUCGGGGUACACGAGUGGCGAACGGGUGAGUAACACGUGGGUGAUCUGCCCUGCACUUCGGGAUAAGCCUGGGCAACUGGGUCUAAUACCGGAUAGGACCACUGACUGCACGGGUGGUGGUGGAAAGACUUUGCGGUGGGGGAUGGGCCCGCGGCCUAUCAGCUUGUUGGUGGGGUGAUGGCCUACCAAGGCGACGACGGGUAGCCGGCCUGAGAGGGUGACCGGCCACACUGGGACAGAGAUACGGAGCAGACUCCUACGGGAGGCAGCAGUGGGAAAUAUUGCACAAUGGGCGCAAGCCUGAUGCAGCGACGCCGCGUGAGGGAUGACGGCCUUCGGGUUGUAAACCUCUUUCAGCACCGACGAAGCGCAAGUGACGGUAGGUGCAGAAGAAGGACCGGCCAACUACGUGCCAGCAGCCGCCGUAA